rnacentral:rRNA from 1 species
GAAUUCAUGGUCCGUGAAGUGUUCGGAUCGCGGCGACUGGGCGGUUCGCCGCCCCCGACGUCGCGAGAAGUCCAUUGAACCUUAUCAUUUAGAGGAAGGAGAAGUCGUAACAAGGUUUCCGUAGGUGAACCUGCGGAAGGAUCAUU